AAAGGCACCACUUAUUUUUAUCUCUUAUAUAUAAUAUCAGAAAAUAAUAAAAUAAGACACCUAAAAUUAUAGAAAUAAAAACUCACACUCCAAUAUUUCCUUCAUCACUUUAGGGAAAUCCAAAUCCUAAUAGUUCAUCUCCCUGGCAAUUUGCUCUUGCUAUUGGUGAUUUGUUGUUUCCUCAAAAAUACUGGGUCAACCCUCUUCCUCCCCUUUCUAGAUAAACCCUGGUGAAUCAUCAUCGUCUUCGACAUCGCUUAACGGUGGUGUCGAGGAGGAGAGUAUAAGGAACGAUGUGUAUGCUGCAGCUGGACGCCCUCUGAUGGUUUCGUGGGUAUGUCUAUGAACUCUUUCUUUCACUACAUGAACAAGCGUUAAUGUUUUCCCUUCCAUUUAUCUUCAAAUUCUGAGAUUUUCCUUACUUAUGUGGUGACAAAUUCAAGAAUGACAAGUUUGUGCUAAGACAAUUUAGCUUAUAUGGUUUGGGAAAGUUGAGAAUAGUCAGGUCUUUUUUUUUUUUUUUUGGUAUGUUUAUACCCAUCAAUUGAUGAUACUAAUUGUGCAAUUUUUCUUAAAAAUUUCAUUUUUGUUGAACUUUGUUGGGUAUAAGAUAUUAUCUUUGGGAUUGCAGUCUAUUCAGAUUUGACUUAUGUACUUACAAAAUGUCUCGCAUAAGGUAUCUCUGUUGGUAUCAUCCACCUAUAUCAGUUGAUUCAAGUCAAACUAGGGACUGAAAUACUAUUCUGCAACAAAUGGAUUAUAAAAAAUAAAAAAAAUAAGAAUGCCACAUUUUCUUUCCAAAAAGUUAAUUAAACACUUUCAGACAAACAUCUAAAUGAAAUAUAAAUUGCAAUAGUAUUGCAAUCAUGCUAGGAGUUUCUCAUGUGGUGUUUAAGCUUAUAUAAAAUUGUCAGUGAAAAAAUAUAGGAGCUAUACACGUUAACCUCAUGCUUUUGACUUCAUAAGCCUUAUUUUUAAGCUCACAUGUUAUCAAGAAUCAUGCCUCUUGCAUAAAGAAAUACCCAAUAAAUAGUUUUCUAAGCAUUGAGUCUUUUUAAUUUUUUUGUUGUUAUCUGUGGUAGAUGAUGUGAUGUAACGACCUGCCAUGUCGUUUUUGUAAUCAAAAUUGGUAAUAAUGCCUCCAAAUAAAUGAUUUUCUAUCAUGUUUUUGGAUUUUGUUGUCCCGAAGCGCAAAAUUUAUGACACGAAACUAUUAUGUCUAUCGUUGGAGCUGGUGUGUAUCGAAAAUCUGAGUGGAAUUCGCAGAGUUCAGGUAAUUUCUCACUGUAUUUUUAGUAAGCUGACUUUAACUUAUGUAGCCUUAAGAGAUUUACUUCUUUUGCAGCGAGACCUGACAGAGAAAGUUGAACGUGUUCACACAAGUUCAGUAUUAAGGUCUGAACUAUGACGCUCAAUAGCCCACGAGAUUACAUUUGAUAUUAGUUUCAGCCUAUCAUUUUCGUUAUUAGAGCAGCCCUCGAGAUUACAUCUGAUAUAGCAUCUUCAAGGUACAAUUACUACUCAUCUUCUUAAAUUUUAUUUAAUUUCCCUUACUUAGUGUCUGGCUCUAAAAUAAUACUUUCUGUACUUUUCAUAGUAACUAUCCACUGUAAAAUCAGCCCUGUUACUAUGGCAUCCAUCUACUUUUACCCUACUCCGGGGGUCACUGUAACAUCUUUUAGACUGUUUAACAGGUUCAGCAGCUGGGUAAUUUCCUACUCAUAGAAAUUUCUCCUCAUUUUAAUGUUCUCCCCGUAGUAUCAUAUUUUUAUACUAUAGAAACGCUGGUUUCAACAUCUCUGCUUGAUGUCAACACAAAACCAAGUUGAGGACAUUACAAUCUUUACACAGCAGAUCUAAGCAAAAUGUUCUUCAACCCUAGAAAAGUAGAAAUAAACUACCACCACAUCAAUUGUUUCACUUUCCCUCUCUCUUUCAACCUUCCUCUAUAACGUUUUACAUCGUCCUUAAUUUUCAUUUUACAAAUGCUAUGGCGGCGGCGGUUCCAGUUUGUCUAUCAACUUAUGUCGUUCAGGGUAAAAUUUUCCUGUAUUAUUUCUCAUUCUAGCGGUUUUCUUGUGAUUUAUGAGUUUCUACUCUACCCUAACCACUGUUAGUUUUGAUUCGAAUUUGGGAGUUCUUCCACAUAACUUGUUUUGUAACUUGUUUUUGUCUAGAUUGGUUGUUUCCUCAGCUAAGAGACUAUAGUUAGAACCUUUUUUCGCUCAUGUAAUAUAUAUAUAUAUAUAUAUACACGAGGCAUUUUCUGUUUGUGAAUUUAAACUUGUAGGAUUAUGAUGACGAAUUUUGCAACUGACAUUGUUGUUGCUAGAGAUAAGUACUUCGUAUCAAAAUUUGAGUUUAAAUUCUAGAGGCCAUUGCAGUCGUAUUCAAUGGGAUCAACUAGAUGUCGUCCAUUUUUGGAAGGUUGCGAGGAGUUUUCAAAUUAUUGCCCUGAUAAAUGAUGCAAACAAUUGGCGUCACACUGCACAUACAAUUUUUUCAUUGCAUAUGGAGAGGUUGUGCUUCAGUCUUCCCAUAGCAGAAAAUCAUUUGUAUUAUUGUCAAGCUGUGUAAUAUGGUGUAUGUGCUCCAGUGGUGGAGAACGUGUAUCUAUAGUAGGAACCACUUCAUCAUGGAAUAAGUGAUGUGAAUACGGGAAUACAAAUUCAUUAUUCCUAAUUGAUAUCCUAUACUAUAAUUUAACAGUAGCUCUACACCCCUCCCAAAAAGAAAAUGGAAUUUUUAAAUUCAAUAUGCCAGCACGGGCCUUUGCCCUCUAGUACUAGUAUAAACCUUCGUAAUUCUAAUACAAUCAGGAAUAAGAAGUUUGAGUCGUCUCUUUGUUGGGAUAAAACUAAACAAACUCUUUCUUUUUUCUUCUUUAUCCGAGUAAGCACAAGUAUUUACAAUGACUAAACUCGUCCAGAUAAACUUAACUCCUUUUUUUUUUCUUCUUCAUCCCGGUAAGCAUAGGGUUUCUGCCCUCAUGUUUGACAAGAAGAUACUGGUGUAGUGCAGGUUUUGGGGAAUAUAUUAAAGAAGUAUAUGCUGCAUAUGAACAACACAAACUAGAGACCACGGUAACUUCUCUUUUCUUUAUCAUUUUACUUUAGUUUUAAUGUAUGGACGACCUAUUAUUCCAGCUUCUCUGUUGAACUGCCGUCUCUUUCAAUUUUUCAGAGAGGUCUCAUCUUAUCGGUUUCUUUUCAUCUAUCUUUUUCCCCCAAGGCUAUAUUUAUUUUUAAUUUCUUUUACCAACUCCUUUAUAUGUUUUUCCUUUUUGCUCUAUUGUGACUACAUGAUUACUUUGAUAUUUUCAAUUAAAUGCUUCUUAAGGAGCAUCUCCAUUGCAUUUCUUAGGUUAAAGAUGAUGUAGCUAUAGACAACAAUUAUUUUUAUUCGAGGGGAGACAUACAUGAAGAAUAAUUGGAGGUUUCAUUAGAUUGUGUAAUGCCCUUUGUUUUCGGCUCUUAUUUAUGUACAUGAAGAAUAAUUGGAGCCACAAUGGGAAAUUGGCCCUAUAAUUGCAAGCUAAUCAACUUUUCUUUAGUAGUCAUGCAACUACAUAUGAAUAGUCGAAAAGAUAAGAACAAUAUAAUGUUAAACAACGUCAUCCCUACAAUAACCCAGAAUCAUUGGUUACAUACACGGAUUAGUCAUGAGCAUAAGGUCCAUUGACUAAUUAUAUUCAUGCAUUUGCAUACAGUCAACAAUAUAUAGUAGCCAAACUCGUAAUAAGGAAAGUGAAUCACAGUCAACAUUGGCAAGUAGUUAACACGGCUGCUGGCUGCUGAUGAAGUCAAUAGUGCGAAAUAACACUGAAACUACUGUUCCUGUAAUAAUGGAUGCGGUUAAAAAAAACCCUUAUAUUUUUCAAGUGACUGUAUGUUCUAUGCUUUAGCAAUAUAAAAGUAUUUACACAAUCAGAUCACUAGCUUAUAAGCUAAUUAUAAAUAUUUUCUUAU